GGCUUUGCACAGUGGCAGUAUCAUAGCCAAUGAGGUUUAUCUGAGGCACGGUUAUUGCUAAUUGAAAACUUUUCCCAAGAUCUCGCCGUGACGACUUGCAAUAUAGUCGGCAUUAGCAAUUUUUGACAGUCUCUACAAAGA
ensembl:snRNA U4 U4 spliceosomal RNA